GACGAACGCUGGCGGCGUGCUUAACACAUGCAAGUCGAACGGAAAGGCCCUGCUUUUGUGGUGUGCUCGAGUGGCGAACGGGUGAGUAACACGUGAGUAACCUGCCCUUUACUUUGGGAUAACUUCAGGAAACUGUGGCUAAUACCGGAUAGGAGCUCCUGCUGCAUGGUGGGGGUUGGAAAGUUUCGGCGGUUGGGGAUGGACUCGCGGCUUAUCAGCUUGUUGGUGGGAUAGUGUCUUACCAAGGCUUUGACGGGUAGCCGGCCUGAGAGGGUGACCGGCCAAAUUGGGACUGAGAUACGGCCCAGACUCCUACGGGAGGCAGCAGUGGGGAAUAUUGCACAAUGGGCGGAAGCAUGAUGCAGCAACGCCGCGUGCGGGAUGACGGCCUUCGGGUUGUAAACCGCUUUCGCCUGUGACGAAGCGUGAGUGACGGUAAUGGGUAAAGAAGCACCGGCUAACUACGUG
rnacentral:rRNA from 1 species